rnacentral:rRNA from 1 species
AGUUUGAUCCUGGCUCAGAUUGAACGCUGGCGGCAUGCCUUACACAUGCAAGUCGAACGGCAGCACGGGGGCAACCCUGGUGGCGAGUGGCGAACGGGUGAGUAAUACAUCGGAACGUGUCCUGUAGUGGGGGAUAGCCCGGCGAAAGCCGGAUUAAUACCGCAUACGCUCUACGGAGGAAAGGGGGGGAUCUUAGGACCUCCCGCUACAGGGGCGGCCGAUGGCAGAUUAGCUAGUUGGUGGGGUAAAGGCCUACCAAGGCGACGAUCUGUAGCUGGUCUGAGAGGACGACCAGCCACACUGGGACUGAGACACGGCCCAGACUCCUACGGGAGGCAGCAGUGGGGAAUUUUGGACAAUGGGGGCAACCCUGAUCCAGCAAUGCCGCGCGUGUGAAGAAGGCCUUCGGGUUGUAAAGCACUUUUGUCCGGAAAGAAAACGCCGUGGUUAAUACCCGUGGCGGAUGACGGUACCGGAAGAAUAAGCACCGGCUAACUACGUGCCAGCAGCCGUGGUAAUACGUAGGGUGCAAGCGUUAAUCGGAAUUACUGGGCGUAAAGCGUGCGCAGGCGGUCCGCUAAGACAGAUGUGAAAUCCCCGGGCUUAACCUGGGAACUGCAUUUGUGACUGGCGGGCUAGAGUAUGGCAGAGGGGGGUAGAAUUCCACGUGUAGCAGUGAAAUGCGUAGAGAUGUGGAGGAAUACCGAUGGCGAAGGCAGCCCCCUGGGCCAAUACUGACGCUCAUGCACGAAAGCGUGGGGAGCAAACAGGAUUAGAUACCCUGGUAGUCCACGCCCUAAACGAUGUCAACUAGUUGUCGGGUCUUCAUUGACUUGGUAACGUAGCUAACGCGUGAAGUUGACCGCCUGGGGAGUACGGUCGCAAGAUUAAAACUCAAAGGAAUUGACGG